AGUGGUAUGGCUAAGUGGUUAAGACGUUGGACUUAUGCUCGGAAGAUUGAGAGUUCAAAAUCUAGCACCA